GUGGAUCAGUGUGUAAGAGACUCUGUAGAAGGACAGAGUCCCAGCAGAGCAGUCCAGAUCCACUGCUACUCUGUGAGA